rnacentral:rRNA from 1 species
GCUGGAAUGAAUGGUUUGACGAAAAUUGAGCUGUCUCUGUUUUAUUUGUUAGAAAUUAAUUUUUAUAGUGAAAAAGCUUGAAUGGUUUAGAGGGACGAGAAGACCCUAUUGA